rnacentral:rRNA from 1 species
UAACUUGAGAGUUUGAUCAUGGCUCAGAACGUACGCUGGCGGCACGCCUAACACAUGCAAGUCGAACGAAGUAGCAAUACUUAGUGGCAGACGGGUGAGUAGCAUGUGGGUAUCUACCCUUUGGCCUGGAAUAACACGAGGAAACUUGUGCUAAUACCGGAUAAGUCUUUACGGAGAAAGCUUUAUGCACCAUUGGAUGAGCCCGCACUUGAUUAGUUUGUUGGUAGGGUAAUGGCCUACCAAGACUAUGAUCAAUAGCUGAUUUGAGAGGAUGAUCAGCCACAUUGGGACUGAGACACGGCCCAAACUCCUACGGGAGGCAGCAGUGGGGAAUCUUGCACAAUGGAGGAAACUCUGAUGCAGCGAUGCCGCGUGAGUGAAGAAGGCCCUUGGGUUGUAAAGCUCUUUCGUCGGGGAAGAAAAUGACUGUACCCGAAUAAGAAGGUCCGGCUAACUUCGUGCCAGCAGCCGCGGUAAUACGAAGGGACCUAGCGUAGUUCGGAAUUACUGGGCUUAAAGAGUUCGUAGGUGGUUGAAAAAGUUAGUGGUGAAAUCCCAGAGCUUAACUCUGGAACUGCCAUUAAAACUUUUCAGCUAGAGUAUGAUAGAGGAAAGCAGAAUUUCUAGUGUAGAGGUGAAAUUCGUAGAUAUUAGAAAGAAUACCAAUUGCGAAGGCAGCUUUCUGGAUCAUUACUGACACUGAGGAACGAAAGCAUGGGUAGCGAAGAGGAUUAGAUACCCUCGUAGUCCAUGCCGUAAACGAUGUGUGUUAGACGUUGGAAAUUUAUUUUCAGUGUCGCAGGGAAACCGAUAAACACACCGCCUGGGGAGUACGACCGCAAGGUUAAAACUCAAAUGAAUUGACGGGGACCCGCACAAGUAGUGGAGCAUGUGGUUUAAUUCGAAGAUACGCGCAGAACCUUACCAACACUUGACAUGUUCGUCGCGACUCUAAGAGAUUAGAGUUUUCGGUUCGGCCGGACGAAACACAGGUGCUGCAUGGCUGUCGUCAGCUCGUGUCGUGAGAUGUUGGGUUAAGUCCCGCAACGAGCGCAACCCUCACUUUUAGUUGCCAUCAUUAAGUUGGGCACUCUGAAAGAACUGCCAGUGAUAAGCUGGAGGAAGGUGGGGAUGACGUCAAGUCCUCAUGGCCCUUACGUGUUGGGCUACACACGUGCUACAAUGGCAUCUACAACAGGAAGCAAAACGGCAACGUUAAGCAAAUCCCGAAAAGAUGCCUCAGUUCGGAUUGCACUCUGCAACUCGAGUGCAUGAAGCUGGAAUUACUAGUAAUCGUGGAUCAGCGUGCCACGGUGAAUGCGUUCCCGGGUCUUGUACACACCGCCCGUCACACCAUGGGAGUUGGUUCUACCUUAAGGCAAGGUUUUAAACCCUUGACCACGGUAUAGUCAGCGACUGGGGUGAAGUCGUAACAAGGUAGCCGUAGGGGAACCUGCGGCUGGAUUACCUCCUUU